rnacentral:lncRNA from 1 species
AGUUUUUUAUUAAAUAAAAGAUAGGACCCACCUGUCAGAUAUAAUCUUCUCUCUAUCUCUUUCCUCUCACCCCCUCUCUCUCUCUCUCCCGUUGGAUGCCGGCGGCUGGGGCUCACGUGCCGGUGGCAGCGGGCGCCUCCUCCGCCGCUUCGGCGGGAGUCGUCGGAAAUCAUAGGUGGGAGCUUCGACACAGCGGUGGCGCUGUUCAACGGCGGCGAGCUCCACGCGUGCCACGACGUCGUGGAGGAGCUCUGGAACACCGCCGACGAGCCCACUGGCCUGGACGCUGCUCCACGCAUCCUCCAGUGCGCCGUCAGCUUCCACCACCUCUUCAACCAAAACCACCGUGGCGCCAUGAUGGAGCUCGGGGAAGGCCUCUGCAAACUGCGCAAGCUGCGUCUCAAGGAGUGA